GCAGAAGGGGAGAGUNGAAUUCCAUGUGUAGCGGUGAAAUGCGUAGAUAUAUGGAGGAACACCAGUGGCGAAAGCGGCUCUCUGGUCUGUCACUGAUGCUGAGGCUCGAAAGCGUGGGUAGCGAACAGGAUUAGAUACCCUGGUAGUCCACGCCGUAAACGAUGAGUGCUAGGUGUUAGGCCCUUUCCGGGGCUUAGUGCCGGAGCUAACGCAAUAAGCACUCCGCCUGGGGAGUACGACCGCAAGGUUGAAACUCAAAGGAAUUGACGGGGGCCCGCACAAGCGGUGGAGCAUGUGGUUUAAUUCGAAGCAACGCGAAGAACCUUACCAGGUCUUGACAUCCCGAUGCUAUUCUUAGAGAUAGGAAGUUACUUCGGUACAUCGGAGACAGGUGGUGCAUGGUUGUCGUCAGCUCGUGUCGUGAGAUGUUGGGUUAAGUCCCGCAACGAGCGCAACCCUUAUUGUUAGUUGCCAUCAUUAAGUUGGGCACUCUAGCGAGACUGCCGGUAAUAAACCGGAGGAAGGUGGGGAUGACGUCAAAUCAUCAUGCCCCUUAUGACCUGGGCUACACACGUGCUACAAUGGUCGGUACAACGAGUUGCGAGCCGGUGACGGCAAGCUAAUCUCUGAAAGCCGAUCUCAGUUCGGAUUGGAGGCUGCAACUCGCCUCCAUGAAGUCGGAAUCGCUAGUAAUCGCGGAUCAGCACGCCGCGGUGAAUACGUUCCCGGGCCUUGUACACACCGCCCGUCACACCACGAGAGUUUGUAACACCCGAAGUCGGUGAGGUAACCUUUUAGGGNCCAGCCGC
rnacentral:rRNA from 1 species